AUGGCGUGAGUAGGCCGCUUCCCUACAAGUUGAACUGUAGAAUUCACUACCACAGUAGUAAAAGUAAACCCUUCAGUAUACUGGUUUUCUAUGAGUCCUGUCUACACUUCUGAAUGUAGUUUUAUAUUUGGAUGCAAUAGUUGCUGGUGAACGUCAGGGGUGUAUUACGGGUGAUGGAUCCCAGAAGCUGCCUUGGCAUAGCCUAUUUUAAGGAGGGACCAAUUUGAAUAUGAGCUUAAGUUAUGGCAGCAACCAAUAGGUGGAGGUGUUGCUGAGUUAGCAGCAAGGUUGUGCGAAUCUUUGGACAGCCCAGUUCAUAUUUCUUCUGACCUCGUUGGCAAGGAUACAAGAGAUUAUGCUACUGGCCCUGUGCUUUGACCAGACAGCAUUUUGCGUUUUGUAAUACCACUACUUUCCUGCAUUUUAUAAUUUUGAUACAGUAAAAGGAUAAUGGUGAUUUUGAUAUAAAUAUUGUGUUUGGUCACAUGACCUGUAAUUAAUGUUAUCCUUAUACAAUGCAUAUUUGGUGGUUGUAUGAUGAUUGUUUUUUGUUUGUGAACUUUGAACACACUGUUUCUAAGUACGAUCUUUUUCAC